rnacentral:rRNA from 1 species
UGAAUACGAGACGCUAAGGCGUCGAAGUAGUGUAUGUCAUACUUCCAAGAAAAGCUUGCACUGUCAUAGAUAAAAAACGCCUGUACCAUAACCGACACAGGUGGGUAGGUAGAGUAUACUAAGGGGCGCGAGAUAACUCUCUCUAAGGAACUCGGCAAAAUAACUCCGUAACUUCGGGAGAAGGAGUGCCUUAUUCGUAAGGUUGCAAUAACAAGAUCCAAGCAACUGUUUAUCAAAAACACAGGUCUCCGCUAAGUCGUAAGACGAUGUAUGGGGGCUGACGCCUGCCCAGUGCCAGAAGGUUAAAGAAGUUGGUUAGCAAUUGCGAAGCUGAUAACUGAAGCCCUGGUGAACGGCGGCCGUAACAAUAACGGUCCUAAGGUAGCGAAAUUCCUUGUCGGGUAAGUUCCGACCCGCACGAAAGGCGUAAUGAUUUGGAUACUGUCUCGGAGAGGGGCUCGGUGAAAUAGACUUGUCUGUGAAGAUGCGGACUACCUGCACCAGGACAGAAAGACCCUAUGAAGCUUUACUGUAACUUGAAAUUGAAAUUGGGCUUUAUUCGCGCAGUAUAGGUGGGAGGCGUUGAUUAUAAUCUUGUGGGAUUAUUGGAGCCAUCAGUGAGAUACCACUCUUGUAAUGUUAGAUUUCUAACUUUGAAUCAUUAUCUGGUCAAAGAACAGUUUCAGGCGGGCAGUUUGACUGGGGCGGUCGCCUCCUAAACGGUAACGGAGGCGUACAAAGGUUUCCUCUGAACGGUUAGAAAUCGUAUCUAGAGUGUAAAGGCAUAAGGAAGCUUGACUGUGAGACCUACAAGUCGAGCAGGGACGAAAGUCGGUCUUAGUGAUCUGACGGUACUGAGUGGAAAGGCCGUCACUCAACGGAUAGAAGUUACUCUAGGAUAACAGGCUGAUCUCCCCCAAGAGUUCACAUCGACGGGGAGGUUUGGCACCUUGAUGUCGGCUCAUCGCAUCCUGGGGCGGUAGUACGUCCCAAGGGUUGGGCUGUUCGCCCAUGAAAGCGGUACGCGAGCUGGGUUCAGAACGUCGUGAGACAGUUCGGUCCAUAUCCGGUGUAGGCGUUAGAAUAUUGAGAGGAGCCUUCUUUAGUACGAGAGGACCGAGAAGGACAUACCUCUGGUGUACCAGUUAUCGUGCCAACGGUAAACGCUGGGUAGCUAUGUAUGGAGUGGAUAACCGCUGAAAGCAUCUAAGUGGGAAGCCCACCUCAAGAUAAG